AAGUCGUAACAAGGUUUCCGUAGGUGAACCUGCGGAAGGAUCAUUAUUGAAGUAGCUGGGAGGUUGUUGCUGGCUCUCCGGAGUAGUUGUGCACGCCUCUCACAACUUUAUUUUAUUCACCUGUGCACCUCUUGUAGUCUCGAGUGACUUUUCGACCAGGAAACUGUGUCGGCUGGAUGAUUGCUCUUACCUUUGUUGAGGGGCUCUUGUCUGAUAGCUCGAGUCUAUGUCUUCACAAACAACUUAUCAUAAAUCUCAGAAUGUCAAUGGUCUGCCUCGCAAGGGGUUGACUUUAAACUUUAAAUACAACUUUCAACAACGGAUCUCUUGGCUCUC
rnacentral:misc_RNA from 1 species